rnacentral:rRNA from 1 species
GACGAACGCUGGCGGCGUGCUUAACACAUGCAAGUCGAACGGAAAGGCCCUGCUUUUGUGGGGUGCUCGAGUGGCGAACGGGUGAGUAACACGUGAGUAACCUGCCCUUGACUUUGGGAUAACUUCAGGAAACUGGGGCUAAUACCGGAUAGGAGCUCCUGCUGCAUGGUGGGGGUUGGAAAGUUUCGGCGGUUGGGGAUGGACUCGCGGCUUAUCAGCUUGUUGGUGGGGUAGUGGCUUACCAAGGCUUUGACGGGUAGCCGGCCUGAGAGGGUGACCGGAGAAGGCAGAGCAGGGGACCGGAGGGCGGUGGGAGGGGAGGCGGGAGUGGGAAGUAGAGUACAGUGGGCGGGAGCCGCAGGCGGGGACGCGGGGGGGGGGAGGGCGUGCGUGGUGUCGUACGCCGCGGUGGCGGGUGACGAGGGGGGGGGGACGGAAAGGAGAAGAGAAGAACGGACGAACUAGGGCCCAGAGGCCGCGGUGAUAUGGGGAAGAGCCGACGGCGGAGC